rnacentral:lncRNA from 1 species
UGUGUGACAGGUGUGUGACAUGUGUGCGACGUGGGCGUCCCCAACGUGUGUCUUCAGUGUUCCCUCCGUGUCCUCAGCGUGUCCCCUGUAUGUCUCCAACGGGUCCCCAACUUAUCCUAUGUGUGUCCUUAAUGUGUUCCCAACGUGUGUCAUGCGUGUCCCCAACGUGUGCUCUGUGUGCCCUUAAUGUGUCUCACAUGUCCUCAUCCUGUCCCCAUGUGUCCUUAACGUCUUCCCAAUGUGUGUGAGGCAUGUCCCCAAAAUGUCCCAUGUGUGUCUUUAACGUGUCUUCAACGUGUCUCACAUAUGUCUCCAUCCUGUCCCCAUGUGUCCUUAACGUGUUCCCAACGUGUGUCACGCAUGUCCCCAAAAUGUCCCAUGUGCGUCUUUAACGUGUCCUCAACGUGUGUCACGCGUGUCCCCAACUUGUGCUCUGUGUGUCUUUAACAUGUCCCUAAUGUGUCUCACGCAUGUCCCCAACUUGUCCCGUGUGUCCUUAACGUGUUCUCAAUGCGUCACACGUGUCCCCAAAAUGUCCCAUGUGUGUCCUUAACGUGUCCUCAAUGUGUGUCAUGCAUGUUCCCAAUAUGUCCUCUGUGUGCCUUUAACGCGUCCCCAACUUGUCUCACAUGUGUCCCCAUCUUGUCCCCAUGUGUCCUUAACGUGUUUCCAACGUGUGUCACGCAUGUCCCCAAAAUGUCCCAUGUGUGUCCUUAACGUGUCUUCAACGUGUCUCACGCAUGUCCCCAGCUUGUCCCCAUGUGUCUUUAACAUGUUCCCAACACUUGUCAUGUAUGUCCCCAAAACGUUCCAUGUGUGUCUUUAACGUGUCCUCAACGUGUGUCACGCGUGUCCCCAACUUAUGCUCUGUGUGUCCUUAACGUGUCCCCAACGUGUCUCACAUAUGUCCCCAUCCUGUCCCCAUGUGUCCUUAACGUGUCCCCAACAUGUUUUGUGUGUCCUUAACGUGUCCCCAAUGUGUCACACAUGUCCCCAGCACGUUUUCUGUGUGUCCUUAACGUGUCCCCAACGCGUCUCACAUAUGUCCACAACAUGUCCCUUGUGUGUUCUUAACAUGUCUCUAGCGUGUGUUACACAUGUCCCCAACUUGUGCUCUGUGUGUCCUUAACGUGUCCCCAGCAUGCGUUCUGUGUGUGUGUCCUUAACGUGUCCCCAAUGUGUCACACAUGUCCCCAGCACGUUUUCUGUGUGUCCUUAACGUGUCCCCAACGCGUCUCACAUAUGUCCACAACAUGUCCCUUGUGUGUUCUUAACAUGUCUCUAGCGUGUGUUACACAUGUCCCCAACUUGUGCUCUGUGUGUCCUUAACGUGUCCCCAGCAUGCGUUCUGUGUGUCCUUAACAUGCGUUCUGAGUGUCCCCAGCGUGUCCCCAUCAUGUGUCUUGCAUGUCCCCAACAUGUCCCUAUUUUGUGCUGUGCGUGUCUCACGCAUGUCCUUAGCGUGUUUUGUGCACAUCGUUAACACGUCAGCAACGUGUUAGCUGCAUGCCCUUCACGUGUUCCCAGCAUCUCUCACGCGUGUCCCCAACGUCCAUCCUGAGUGUCCCUAACACGUCCCCCACGUGUCCCUUGUGUGUCCCCAACGUGUUUGCAACACGUCCCCAACAUGUGCCACGUGUGUCCCCAACACGCGUUCCGUGUGUCCCAUUCAUGUCCCCUGCCUGUCCCAU